rnacentral:rRNA from 1 species
UACGUAGGGUGCAAGCGUUAUUCGGAAUUACUGGGCGUAAAGCGCGCGCAGGCGGUUGCGUAAGUCAGAUGUGAAAGCCCCGGGCUCAACCUGGGAAUUGCAUUUGAGACUGCGUAGCUAGGGUGCGGAAGAGGGAAGCGGAAUUUCCGGUGUAGCGGUGAAAUGCGUAGAUAUCGGAAGGAACACCAGUGGCGAAAGCGGCUUCCUGGGCCAGCACCGACGUUCAGGCACGAAAGCGUGGGGAGCAAACAGG